rnacentral:rRNA from 1 species
AAGAGCUUGCUCUUAUGAAGUUAGCGGCGGACGGGUGAGUAACACGUGGGUAACCUGCCCAUAAGACUGGGAUAACUCCGGGAAACCGGGGCUAAUACCGGAUAACAUUUUGAACCGCAUGGUUCGAAAUUGAAAGGCGGCUUCGGCUGUCACUUAUGGAUGGACCCGCGUCGCAUUAGCUAGUUGGUGAGGUAACGGCUCACCAAGGCAACGAUGCGUAGCCGACCUGAGAGGGUGAUCGGCCACACUGGGACUGAGACACGGCCCAGACUCCUACGGGAGGCAGCAGUAGGGAAUCUUCCGCAAUGGACGAAAGUCUGACGGAGCAACGCCGCGUGAGUGAUGAAGGCUUUCGGGUCGUAAAACUCUGUUGUUAGGGAAGAACAAGUGCUAGUUGAAUAAGCUGGCACCUUGACGGUACCUAACCAGAAAGCCACGGCUAACUACGUGCCAGCAGCCGCGGUAAUACGUAGGUGGCAAGCGUUAUCCGGAAUUAUUGGGCGUAAAGCGCGCGCAGGUGGUUUCUUAAGUCUGAUGUGAAAGCCCACGGCUCACCCGUGGAGGGUCAUUGGAAACUGGGAGACUUGAGUGCAGAAGAGGAGAGUGGAAUUCCAUGUGUAGCGGUGAAAUGCGUAGAGAUAUGGAGGAACACCAGUGGCGAAGGCGACUUUCUGGUCUGUAACUGACACUGAGGCGCGAAAGCGUGGGGAGCAAACAGGAUUA